rnacentral:rRNA from 1 species
UGAACGACUCUCAGCAACGGAUAUCUCGGCUCUUGCAUCGAUGAAGAACGUAGCGAAAUGCGAUACUUCGUGUGAAUUGCAGAAUCCCGUGAACCAUCGAGUCUUUGAACGCAAGUUGCGCCCGAGGCCUUUUGGUCGAGGGCACGUCUGCCUGGGCGUCACGC